CCCUCGAUAGCUCAGUUGGUAGUGUGGCGGACUGUAGAGCUGUGCUGAUGGCCAUCCUUAGGCUGCCGGUUCAAAUCCAGCUUGAAGGA
rnacentral:tRNA from 1 species